ACCCCUGUGGCUCAGUUGGUAGAGCAUGAUGUUUGCAACGCCAGGGUUGUGGGUUCGAUUCCCACGGGGGUC
rnacentral:tRNA from 1 species